CUAGGGUGGCUGACUGAUGGUCCCCGAGUCGAAAGGCAAGGGGUGAAAAGGGAACACGGUGAGAUCUUCGGAUCGAGGCCGUGGCUGCCCCCGCAACUGUAAGCGGUUAGCAAAAUCCGAAGUGCCACUGGCCGGCAAGGCUGGGAAGGCAGGAUGGCGCAAAGACCCGCGAGCCAGGAGACCUGCCAUCAGCAUGAGUUGACC
rnacentral:ncRNA from 2 species